GACCUCACAGUGAUACUUGGAUUCUCAGUGUCACCACAGCCUUCCUCAGGGCUUUAGAGCCAACUCUGGGGGUUUCAUGCUUCUGUAGCUCAGGGAAGGGAUUCCUCACAGUGGAAGGCAGCUGCUCUUCCUCCCAUUAAACAGAGGAAGACAUGCAAAUGGGGCUCCUCCCUCAGGCAUGAACCGAGCACAAAACCUGUGUGCUGCUCUGGGAGAGGAGCUUCUCCUUGUGUGGCUGAGGACUGACAGUGUAGAGCCUGAAUCAUGGGAUUUGGACUCAAUGGCAUUUUCAUUCUGAUGAUUUUGCAAGGUGUCCAUUGUGACGUUCAGCUGGUGGAGUCUGGGGGAGAUGUGAGACAGCCUGGAGGAUCCUUGAAACUCUUUUGCAAGGUUUCUGGAUUAGACUUCAGCAGCUACUACAUGAAUAGGGUUUCCCAGGCUCCAGGGAAGGGGCUGGAGUGUGUCUCAUACGUUAGAAGUGGUGGAAGUAGCACAAACUAAGCGGGACAUGUGACAGAAGGUCACAUGAGAGUUGAAUCAAGAUUCUAAGAUCCCAACUGUAAAACAGUCUUGGGGAGGAAACUUUUGGAAGAGAGGGGAGAUUUUCCAUCUUUCUGGCCCUUUGGAAGAUA